rnacentral:tRNA from 1 species
CAUUUGGCAUCUAAAAUUAGAAUUGACCUUUUAAGUCAACUAUAGUAAAAUUAUGCGUACUUCAAAUGA